rnacentral:rRNA from 1 species
CCUACGGGUGGCAGCAGUGAGGAAUAUUGGUCAAUGGACGAGAGUCUGAACCAGCCAAGUAGCGUGAAGGAUGACUGCCCUAUGGGUUGUAAACUUCUUUUAUAUGGGAAUAAAAUGUUCCACGUGUGGGCUUUUGUAUGUACCAUAUGAAUAAGGAUCGGCUAACUCCGUGCCAGCAGCCGCGGUAAUACGGAGGAUCCGAGCGUUAUCCGGAUUUAUUGGGUUUAAAGGGAGCGUAGGUGGAGUGUUAAGUCAGUUGUGAAAGUUUGCGGCUCAAACGUAACAUUGCAGUUGAAACUGGAAGUCUUGAGUACAGUAGAGGUGGGCGGAAGUCGUGGUGUAGCGGUGAAAUGCGUAGAUAUCACGAAGAACGCCGAUGGCGAAGGCAGCUUACUGGACUGCAACUGACACUGAGGCUCGAAAGUGUGGGUAUCAAACAGGAUUAGAUACCCUAGUAGUC